rnacentral:rRNA from 1 species
UACGAAGGGGGCUAGCGUUGUUCGGAUUUACUGGGCGUAAAGCGCACGUAGGCGGCUUGUUAAGUCAGGGGUGAAAGCCUGGAGCUCAACUCCAGAACUGCCCUUGAUACUGGCAAGCUCGAGUGUGACAGAGGUUGGUGGAACUGCGAGUGUAGAGGUGAAAUUCGUAGAUAUUCGCAAGAACACCAGUGGCGAAGGCGGCCAACUGGGUCAUUACUGACGCUGAGGUGCGAAAGCGUGGGGAGCAAACAGG